ACGUCAGCACGUCGGCGCCGGGUUUUCUCUGGCGGGGCCCGGCUAACCUGCCUUGUGUGUGUGUGUGACUGUGUAUUUCGCACAGCUCAGCCUGGGCGGGGAGCGCCUUGUGCGCUCGUGGGUGGGCACGGUUACUGGGCUUGGUGCUCUGGCUGACCGCCUUCAGCGUCCUGCCGGCCUUUUCCCAGGGCCAUUACUGCUGCGGGGCGCUUCGGAGCAGAGGCGGCUCCCGGGCUCUGCCCGAGGCAGUCGGUGUCCAUCCCUCUGGGCUCGGAUGGGAGGCGGCGGGGGGAGCGGCUUGGGAUGUUCAGUCUGAUGGACAACUGCUGCAGCUGGUUCAAGCGGUGGCGGGAGCCGGUCAGAAAGGUGACUCUUGUGAUGGUGGGACUUGAUAAUGCUGGUAAAACGGCAACGGCAAAGGGAAUCCAAGGAGAGUGUCCUGAAGAUGUAGCCCCUACUGUUGGAUUUUCCAAAAUUUACCUUAGACAAGGGAAGUUUGAAGUCACCAUCUUUGACUUGGGAGGUGGAAAAAGAAUUCGGGGAAUCUGGAAGAAUUACUAUGCUGAGUCUUAUGGGGUAAUAUUUGUUGUGGAUUCCAGUGAUGAAGAGAGAAUGGAAGAGACGAAAGAGACAAUGUCAGAAGUGUUAAGACAUCCUAGGAUAUCAGGAAAGCCUAUAUUGGUGUUGGCAAAUAAACAAGACAAAGAAGGGGCAUUAGGAGAAGCUGAUGUGAUUGAAUGUCUGUCUCUGGAAAAAUUGGCCAAUGAGCACAAGAGCCUAUGUCAAAUAGAACCUUGUUCAGCAGUCUUGGGAUAUGGAAAGAAAAUCGACAAGUCCAUUAAAAAAGGCCUUUAUUGGUUGCUACAUAAUAUUGCAAGAGAUUUUGAUGCCUUAAGUGAACGUAUCCAAAAAGACACAACAGAACAACGUGCUCUUGAAGAACAAGAAAAACGAGAAAGGGCUGAAAGAGUGCGAAAAUUAAGAGAAGAAAGAGAACAAAGAGAGCGUGAGCAGGCUGAACUUGAUGGAACCAGCGGUCUUGCUGAGUUGGAUCCGGAACCAGUAAUUGUUAAUCCUUUCCAGCCAAUAUCAUCUGUAAUUAUUGAGAAUGAAAAAAAAAUUGAAAAAGAGAAAAAGAGGCAAAAUAUGGAUAAAGACAGUGAUGACCGCCCCUUGAAACAUAAAAUGGAGCAUGAACAAAUAGAGACACAGAGCCAAUUUAGUGACAGCAGCCAGAAAAACAAUGAGUAUGGAGUAGUAGAAAAUUAUAAGGAGGCAUUAACACAGCAGUUGGAGAAUGAAGAUGAGACAGACCAGCGAUCAUCAGAAUCAGAUAACAGUAAAAAGAAAAUGAAGAAACUAAGAAUAAAAAGGAGUCACCGUGUAGAACCUGUUAAUACAGAUGACUCUGCUUCUAAGAGUCCAACACCACCACCACCUCCUCCUCCUGUUGGCUGGGGAACCCCCAAAGUCACUAGACUUCCAAAACUUGAGCCUCUUGGUGAAACACGUCAUAAUGAUUUCUAUGGGAAGCCAUUGCCUCCCCUGGCUGUGCGACAGAGACCUAACAGCGAUGCUCAUGACGUGAUCUCAUAACCAAGUCACGUGGGUGAGCUCUUGAUAUUGGCAAGAUGAACUGGAGAAACUUCUUUCUCAAAGAAGAAAAGCCCUGAAUUGAUGACUAGGGCAAGAUAACCAUAGCAAUUUCCAGUGAGGACAUUAAUAGCCAAAGACCUGACUGAUCUGAUAAUUACUUAUUCAUGGUCUUCAUGGUUUAAAAAAAAAAGCAAAAUGACCAGCAAAAGGACAAGCAUUUGGACCAAGUUAGCAAGUAGUGUUGACUCUGGUUUAUAAAUCCGCACUCAUGGACAUAUUCCUGGAAGAAAACCUUUCAGAAAAAGAGCCAAUGGACUCUACACUUUCUUUACUAUUUGUUUAAUAGUCUUUAUUUCUGUAUCAUAAACAUUUUUUGUAAGAUACAUCUUCAUGGAAAGGGAAAUUCUUGGGAAUUUAUAACCUAAAUUUUAUACUUAGUAUAUUUUUCUAAAACUUUUAAGAAUUUUAAUUGCUAUGAUAUUGACUUUGCACUUUUCUAUAGAUGCUUUGUUUAAAUUGUGUCUGGAAAAUCGAGUUCAUUUAUUUUGUAAACAUGAACUAUACAAACAAUACAUUUAUAUGGUUUGAGGUGUGUUUUCUAAUAGUAUUGUUCUUGAAAUAUACAUUCGAAUUUGACCUAUUUUAAAAUAAUACCUUUUUAAAAUAGAUUCUGAGAUCUUUAUUCCACCAAAUUAUGUUAUUUGAAAGCACUACCCAAGGAGAAAGUUCAAUUUUUUUGUUCUUGGUUGUUUUCUUUGGUGAUGAUCUCAGUAAAUGAAAGUCACUUGAAAUACUUUUUUGAUCUAAAUAAAUGCUUUUUAAAUUAAUAAAAAUAUUCUGUGAGAUGUUAUUAAAAGUUCCAAGCAACAUCUUUUUUUAAAGAUUAUACUCUUUCAGAGAUCAAGGUGCUCCUUGUCACUCACUUCCUUGUUCUAUCAGAAUCUGCAGUGACUUUUUUUGGUUAUUCUAAUUCUUUCAUGCCUUAAAAUUAAAGGCAAAAAAGACUGAAAAAGCUGUUCUAGGUCCGGAGACUGGUGUUUCAUAACCAGGAAAGGCUUGGGUACUAAAGCAAUAGGAAUAAAAAUGUUAGUUUAAAAUGACUUUUAUAAAGAAAUGACUCCAAAAUAAUUUCUCAAUUUAAAAUAAUAGUACUUCUCUUGCCCAGAAGAGUGACAUCUAAUAGGAUUCUUCAUUUGUCUGGCAUAUAGACUAACUCUUAGAUAAAUAUGUUGAGUAAUUGAGUCACGUUGCGUUUCACUGAAAUCAUGCAUUUAUGUUAAGGUGAACAUACUAUAAACAGUAUGAUUCCUAUAUCACCUUGUUAAAUGGUCAGUUUAGUAACUUGUGCUGAUAACAGACAUUGGUAUCUGACAGGAAUAUGAUUAAGUAUGCCUAAGGUAGUUUAAAAUGCUCAUUUUUAAAAUUUUACUUCAGAGGAUCACAUUUUAUUCACAUUUUUAACUCAUAAUUCAUUAAUCAGGUCAGUCUAGUCAGUAUCAUUUUAUUAGUUUAGUCAGUAUCAUUUGCAGCUUUUUGGAGUUUUGUACAUGGGUCCUACCCAGCACACUGAGUAAAAAGCAUACUACUUCAGAUAUAAAAUUCUUAACAACCCAAAGUUGAGAGGUGUGUGAAACGUAAGGGAAAGCAACACAAGAAAAAAAAUGUAAAUUUUGAAAUGAAUUUUAGAGAAAAAAUGUGUUUGCAUAUCUUGUUGGUUACUUUGGUAACAUUUUACAUUCAUUUUUUAAAAAACUAAACUCAUACUUUUGCCAUCUUUUUACUAUUCAUCUAGUUUGAGAAUAAAUAUGUUUUUACAAUUUUUGUUUCCUUCCAUUGAUUGUACUUUACUAUGGUGUACAAUAACUACAGAGUCCAUUAUGGACAUUCAUCCAAAUAUGAAUAAAAAUGAUUUUGAAAUUAAAUAUAUGAUAAAUAAAUGCUUAAUAUAUCUCAAAAAAUUAAUUUGUAUUCUUAAAGCACUCUAAAAAUAUUUUAAAAGAGGUUUUGUAAAUCCAGGUGGCUUUUAACAAGUAAUACCUAUUUUGUCAUAUGCUGCAUUUUAAAUUCCUAAUCAUCAUGAGUUAUAACAUUUUCACAGAAUAAAAAUAAUUUAUUAUGC